rnacentral:rRNA from 1 species
UCUCCUGGAAAACGGGUGGUAAUGCCGGAUGCUCCAGUUGGAUGCAUGUUCUUUUGGGAAAGAUUCAUCGGUAUGGGAUGGGGUCGCGUCCUAUCAGCUUGAUGGCGGGGUAACGGCCCACCAUGGCUUCGACGGGUAGCCGGCCUGAGAGGGCGACCGGCCACAUUGGGACUGAGAUACGGCCCAGACUCCUACGGGAGGCAGCAGUGGGGAAUAUUGCACAAUGGGCGCAAGCCUGAUGCAGCGACGCCGCGUGCGGGAUGACGGCCUUCGGGUUGUAAACCGCUUUUGACUGGGAGCAAGCCCUUCGGGGUGAGUGUACCUUUCGAAUAAGCACCGGCUAACUACGUGCCAGCAGCCGCGGUAAUACGUAGGGUGCAAGCGUUAUCCGGAAUUAUUGGGCGUAAAGGGCUCGUAGGCGGUUCGUCGCGUCCGGUGUGAAAGUCCAUCGCUUAACGGUGGAUCCGCGCCGGGUACGGGCGGGCUUGAGUGCGGUAGGGGAGACUGGAAUUCCCGGUGUAACGGUGGAAUGUGUAGAUAUC